rnacentral:lncRNA from 1 species
AUGACACCUGAAUACAAAGAAGAUGAGAGGAAAUGUCAUAGAAAUGGGGAUUUUGUGGGGUCUGUUGCCCUCAGAAGUGCUGGGUCAGGGCUGCGCUGGGAUGUGUCUCGCUCCCCUGAUGUUCCUGGGCCCCUCAGCACCAGCUGGGGGCUGUCUGAGCUCCUGGCGUGGACCUCUCCGGGAAGGAGCACACAAAUGAGCCCUUUCUGUGGCCUCUUUCCGGAGCCCCUGCCACGGAAGUCUCUGCAGACCGAAGCAGCCCAGACGAGGUGCCGUCGGUUUCGUGCAACCUGCUGCCGCCAGGAGCUUUAUGUCAGCUGUUUUGAGCAGAGCAGCCAAGGGACUCGUACAAGACAAGGAUGCGCUCUUUGCCUCCAACAGAGGCCUGUGAGGUCGUGGUGUGAGAUGCUUCCUGGGAGAGCUGGAAAACAAAUUAAAAGAUGCCCAGUACGAGGACCAGGCUGUGAAAAGCUGCGGCAGUGAAACCUUCCAGCUCGUGUGUGUGAUAAAGCAGGAAGUUAUCUUUGCUUUCCUUCGCAAAGGACGGGAGGAAUGUCACACUUGUAGGAGGCCCCCUGGUGCCAGGUGAGGUUGCUGCAGCUCGGUCACAGGCGUGAGGACAGCGGCUCACCUGCCCUGCUGGGAAAAGGAGGAGUGACAUCCCGGCGGGGGAUAACAUGCACCACGCCGGUUUGGAUGUGCACUGCUUUGCUGCGUGUGGACAGAGAGUUCAGCCAAAAUCGUGCAAAACCUCAUGUGGUCUGUAACAGCCAUGGGGCUGCAAAAGCUGCUUGCAAGAGAGGUGGUGCGGGUCGCCAGGUCCCCCUCACCCCACAUCCCAACUUCCCAGCACUCAGGGCUUCUUGUGCCUCUGGGCUCAUCUCCUGAGGCAGCCUCGUCUCUCCCUGCAGCCCCCAAGGCAUCCGCUGCCUGCCCCAUGUGGCCCCACCGCAGCUCUGUACCCUGCCACUCUUCUUGAAGAGCGUUUGCUUUGUUAAAAGGUUGUCGGAUGAAUGAACUUAUGGAUCAAUACCCAAUAGUCAACUACAAUUAUUUACCUUUAAGCACCGAACAGAUCAUAAAGAGCAAGAGAAACAUUCUUCUUUGAAAAGAAACUGCCUGACUGCUGUGAGUUGUUUAAAGUGAAUAGAAAAAAACAAAUGCGUGCUGACCCAGAGCGGGGCUGGAAGGGGCGAAUGAGCUGGUCCUGUUCUGUGCUCCCACAGGAGUGAUGGCUGGUGGCACCCGGACAGUCCCGAGUCACAGGCAGCAUUACUGCCACUGCCUGCACUGCCUGUGUGGGCAGCAAGCGGCACUCUGGCUGAGCAGCACUGCUCGGCGGAGACCCAGCAGCAGCCCAGAACUGGGUGCCAGUGACAGUGCUGGCACUGCUGUCACAUACAUCUAUAGCCGCGAUGCUUUCUGGCCCAUCUGUCCACUGCCUUGCCACGACAUCAGCACCGGAGGCAAAAAAGAGCGAGAGAGAAAAAGGUCUGUGGGACAUGGCUCUGCAGUGUCUAACACAACCAGACCCGGGUUCCAAUUUGCCCACAAGGUGCUGCUGCAGGAGCAGUGGUGAGGAGAAGUGGCCCUGGGAGUGCUCUGCUGCCUUCCCCGCCACUCGCUGCUGACUCUGUGUGAUGAAGCACAAGUGAUGGAUGCGCCUAUCAGUUCCUCCAGUCACCUAAACCUGGCAAUAAAAACCUCUGUAAUGAAUGAAAGCA